AUACUUACCUGUCAGGGGAGAUACCAUGAUUACAAAGGUGGUUUUCCCAAGGCAAGGCUUUUAUCCAUUGCACUCCAGAUGUGCUGACCCUGGCAAUUUCCCCAAAUGUGGAAAACUUGACUGCAUGAUUUGUGGUAGUGGGGGACUGCAUUCACGUUCUCCCCUG